rnacentral:rRNA from 1 species
UACAGAGGGUGCGAGCGUUGUCCGGAAUCACUGGGCGUAAAGGGCGCGUAGGUGGCCUGAUAAGUAGGGGGUGAAAUCUCGUGGCUCAACCGCGAGACGGCCUCCUAGACUGUCAGGCUCGAGCAGAGUAGAGGCAGGUGGAAUUCCCGGUGUAGCGGUGGAAUGCGUAGAGAUCGGGAAGAACAUCGGUGGCGAAGGCGGCCUGCUGGGCUCUUGCUGACACUGAGGCGCGACAGCGUGGGGAGCAAACAGG